rnacentral:rRNA from 1 species
GAUGAACGCUGGCGGCGUGCCUAAUACAUGCAAGUCGAGCGAACAGACGAGGAGCUUGCUCCUCUGACGUUAGCGGCGGACGGGUGAGUAACACGUGGAUAACCUACCUAUAAGACUGGGAUAACUUCGGGAAACCGGAGCUAAUACCGGAUAAUAUAUUGAACCGCAUGGUUCAAUAGUGAAAGACGGUUUUGCUGUCACUUCUAGAUGGAUCCGCGCCGGAUUAGCUAGUUGGUAAGGUAACGGCUUACCAAGGCGACGAUGUGUAGCCGACCGGAGAGGGUGAUCGGCCACACUGGAACUGAGACACGGUCCAGACUCCUACGGGAGGCAGCAGUAGGGAAUCUUCCGCAAUGGGCGAAAGCCUGACGGAGCAACGCCGCGUGUGUGAUGAAGGUCUUCGGAUCGUAAAACUCUGUUAUUAGGGAAGAACAAAUGUGUAAGUAACUAUGCACGUCUUGACGGUACCUAAUCAGAAAGCCACGGCUAACUACGUG